ACUCCUACGGGAGGCAGCAGUGGGGAAUAUUGCACAAUGGGGGGAAACCCUGAUGCAGCCAUGCCGCGUGUGUGAAGAAGGCCUUCGGGUUGUAAAGCACUUUCAGUAGGGAGGAAGGUAGUGUAGUUAACACCUGCACUAUUUGACGUUACCUACAGAAGAAGCACCGGCUAACUCCGUGCCAGCAGCCGCGGUAAUACGGAGGGUGCGAGCGUUAAUCGGAAUUACUGGGCGUAAAGCGCAUGCAGGCGGCCUGUUAAGUCAGAUGUGAAAGCCCGGGGCUUAACCUCGGAAUUGCAUUUGAAACUGGCAGGCUAGAGUCUUGUAGAGGGGGGUAGAAUUUCAGGUGUAGCGGUGAAAUGCGUAGAGAUCUGAAGGAAUACCAGUGGCGAAGGCGGCCCCCCUGGACAAAGACUGACGCUCAGAUGCGAAAGGCGUGGGGAGCAAACAGGAUUAGAUACCCUGGUAGCACAGAG
rnacentral:rRNA from 1 species